CCGGGAAGAGCUCAAAUUUGAAAUCUGGCGUCCUCAGGGCGUCCGAGUUGUAAUCUAUAGAGGCGUUUUCCGUGCCGGACCGUGUCCAAGUUCCUUGGAACAGGAUAUCAAAGAGGGUGACAAUCCCGUACUUGACACGACGACCGGUGCUCUGUGAUACGUCUUCUACGAGUCGAGUUGUUUGGGAAUGCAGCUCAAAAUGGGUGGUGAGUUCCAUCUAAAGCUAAAUAUUGGCGAGAGACCGAUAGCGAACAAGUACCGUGAGGGAAAGAUGAAAAGCACUUUGGAAAGAGAGUUAAACAGUACGUGAAAUUGUUGAAAGGGAAACGAUUGAAGUCAGUCGUGACCGAGAGGCUCAGCCGGUUCUGCCGGUGUAUUCCCCUCGGUCGGGUCAACAUCAGUUUUGUCCGGUGGAUAAGGACGGUAGGAAGGUGGCACCCUCGGGUGUGUUAUAGCCUGCCGUCGCAUACAUCGGGUGAGACUGAGGAACGCAGCUCGCCUUUAUGGCCGGGGUUCGCCCACGUCCGAGCUUAGGAUGUUGACAUAAUGGCUUUAAACGACCCGUCUUGA
rnacentral:rRNA from 1 species